rnacentral:lncRNA from 1 species
AAUAAUAAAAUAAAGUUUAAAUUAACUUUUAUUUUGUUUUAAGGCUAAUUUGAUGAAUUAACAUGUUUUUUCUUUUCAUUAAUGUCCCUGAGAAUACUGGUGCAAGGGUAUAAUUGUAAAAGGAAAGAAAUAGUAAGGGUAAGAACGUAAUAUAUUUAACAGUUGGGAUGUCUUGAGCUACUUUUAAAAUAUAGGGAUUAAACAAAUAUAAGUUAAAAUAUAAAUGCUAAACAAGCAUUUACUCACCACAAUUAUAUCAAACUUUAAGAGAGAUUUAUUUAUUACAAUACCAUUAAUUAAUCUUAGAAAGAUAAGGCACAAUAAAUGUUAACGUAACGAUAAUGUCCUCAUUUGCAAUAGAAUAAAAAAAAAAAGACAUUGGCAAUUGUUAAUUAUGUAAAGAAAUAGGAAUUAUAUUUAUACGGACUAUGUCCACGUUGAUGCAUGUAAUACUAAAUUGGAAUUCACAUUAAUACUUUGAAAUUAAGAAUACUAUCAUUUUCUCACCUAAGUUUUUCUGACACAUCAAAUCAGUACCAAGGUUUAAUAAAAACUGUAUUUUACCAUUAAAUGUUUACGUUGUUAUCACUUUACCACCAUUCUGUUAACGAAGUUAAAAAUUUGCUGGUGUCAUAAAGGCAUUUAAGAAACUUUACGUUCAACCCAAAACGCACCAUUCAAUUGUGAAAGAGAUAUUAUCAUUUGCCUACUGAAAAUUUUAUGACGUAUUAAUUCAGUACUAAUAAGUUGUUGCUUUACCAUCAAAACAUUAAAAAUAGUUAUAAAAAAAAUUGAUGUCAUAAGAGCAUUUAAGGAAUUUCACAUUGAAGCCAAAGUGUUAACACAAUUUGUUGAAUGAUGAAGUGUUAAAUUUAGAGUAUUUUGGCUUGCCAUUGUAGUGUUUGAAAUGGCUUAGGGUUGCUAGUGUUGAAUGAUAUUAUCAAAAUUGAAGUGUUUGGCUUGUAUUACUUGGAGUUUUGAUAUUUGAAUGCACAACAUCAUGUUUAUAUAAUAAAAAAAGUAGUUGUUUUUUUAAUAUAACAACUACUUUUUCUAAGGUAAUUUCUCUUUUGUAAUUUCUUUCUUUUCAAAUGACAAAAUCGUCUUUUAUACUCUAGUUAAAUAUUUAGUUAUUUUUAACAUUUUGGUGGUAAAGUGAUAACAGUUUAAAUAUUAGGUGGUAAAAUGUAAUUUUUUAAAAAAAUUCGGUACUGAAUUGAUAUGUCAGAAAGCUUUCGGUUGACAAAUUAUAGAUUUAUCUUUUGUAAUUUCUUUCUUUUUAAAGGAAAAAAUCGUCUUUCAUGCUCAGGGAAAAAAUUGACUUUCAACUCAUAUUUUAUUAAAUAUUAACUUAUUUUUAAUUGAAUGGUGAUAAAGUAAUAAUAGCGUAAACAUUUAGUGGUAAAAUACAGUUUUCACCAAACCUUAGUACUACAUUGGUGUGUCAGAAAAACUUAAAGUGAGAAAAUAAUAAUAUCCCUUGGAAUUAUAUGGAUAUUUACACUACUAUUCCACAUUGGAGGAAAGUGAGUAAUUAUUUUUGUGUUUGAUUUGAAAUUGGUUAUGAGUUUGAUUUAAUUAUAAAUUAGAGUUCAUAAGUCAAAUAUGCAAGUGAUUUGGAUUAUUUAGGUUGAAUUCAAUUAUAAGAUACAUCGACCAACUUAAAUUAAAUAAGAAAGAGUGGGUAGCUAAUUCAAAUUAGGAAAAGGGCUAAAGAGUUCUCUAUAUAAGAGAGACAUAUAAAGCCUUUAAUGAUGUCUACCACAACAAUAAAAAGAAAAAAAGAAAAAUAAUUGUUUUAAUGCACAUUCUUUAUUUUUGUUGCAUAUUUUUCUUCAUCAAUGUUUUUUUUGCUGUUCAAAACUAUCAUGUUUAGAGUGCAUAUUCACGGUUAUUAUCAUCGUAUCUUGGAGAUUAAACCACUUUAUUUGUCUUUCUUGCUCGAAAGACCUUACUUUAAGACACAAAAUUUGCCUUAAAGACAAGUGCUCUUGCAUGCCUUGACGAAUACUCUAUUUGUUGGUGGGAUAUAACUUCUGUAUUUAAGGAUGCAACUUUGUGGUUCACUGUGCAAGUCGUUUUAUUUUGAAUGCAACUUCGAGGUUAACAUGUUUUUAUUCUCAAGCUAUUGUUCGUCGUUGUUGGAUUUAUGAUUAGUGUCGUUAUUUCUUCUUAUUUUGGGGUUAAAAAAAGUAAUAUUAAUUCAUAUUUCCAACAAGUACCGCAUGAAAUUUUGUUUAAUUUUAUGUUAUUUUUAAUAUUACACAUUGCAAUUUUAUAAAAACCUAUUUGACUGUAUUUCAUCUAAAAUUUAUCUUGAAAAUUUCCACCAAGAAAGUAGAGAUCUGCUUCUAAAUUUAGACAAAUUAAUCUUAAUCUCACAAAUUUAGAAUAUACAUGAUAGACUUGAUAGUUGAAGGAAUUUCCCUUAUGACAAACAAUGAAUAUUAUAAUAAAAAUUGCAUAGGCAUAGAAUUGUUUAUAUAUAAACAAACCCAAAUAAGACAAACAACAAAUAUUAUAAUAAAAAUUACAUUGAAUAUGCAUGAAAAGGGUGAUGAAUCACUGACUGUUAUUGAAUAUGGUGAUAGAACACGUAUUGGAUCUUGCUUUGUUGCACUAGAGAAGUUUGAUAGAACACAAAAUAUGAAGAAAUAGGGUAAACGAAAAGUGUGCGUUAAUUAUAAAAAAAAAUUAUUAAAAUAUUGAUUUUAUUUCCAAUUUAAAUAAGGAUAAUUUCGGGCUUAAGUAAUAAUUAUAAGGAUAUUUAUGGAAUUAUAUUAAAGGAUAAAAUUGAUUCUCAAAAUCAAAAUCUAAAAGUUACUCCUUCCCCACUUUUCAAAAUCAGCUAUAGGGGGAGCUGAUUCUGGCAAAAGUGAUUUUGAUUUUUUUUUACUAAACACUAAAAUUAACUUUUAGAUUUUUAAAAUCACUUUUAACCCUCCCAAAAGUAAUCCCAAACGGAGCUUUAAUCCUCGAAUUUUAAGAUUGAAAUAAGGAAGUGACAUUUACUAGACCAAUAAAAAUUGACUUGGCUUACGCUAGGCAAGUUUGAAUUGAGUUAUAAUUAAUGAAAUCAAAGAACCCCAUUUUUAUAAGUUUUGAGACAACUUUUUUUUUUUUCAAUUAAUUGGACCGACCAUUUGGUCCAAUGUUCCCUACGAAAGCACCAUAUUUACUAAUACACAUCAAUCAUAAAGCUUUAAAUACAGGAAAAUAUAUAUUGUACUAUUAAAAAUGGGUUGUGACUAUAAUAUUUUUAAUUAAUGUACGUAUCAUUUUUCGAACACUUUUAGAUAGUCAGAUUUUAUAAAUUUUAAUUAAUUUUUUGACAUCUAAUAGUAUUCAAAUAAUAAGUGUUGGACUCAUAAAAUUAAAGUUCUAUUUGGUAUUGAUGUUUAGUAGUUUUAAUUCAAAAAUUACAGCAUAAAGUGUUUGCUAUAGUCUAACAACUAAGUUGAUUUGAUUCACCGCUUAUAUU